GAAAAGGGAGACAAAAAUAAGGCCUAAUACAUAGAUCUAAGGAUCCGUCGUUCUUCAACAUACACGGCCACCCACCCCUUUCUUCAUCUUCUUCGAAGAAACACAAAAGAUAAAACAGAGCUUCCCCUUCAAAUUUCAACGCUGGAACCAGCCGAAAAGAGAACAAAAAAUGAAAAAAUAGACCUAGAUGCCAAGAGUUGAGACCCGCCGCUGACACCCCAAACGACCCCUGAACAUUCUGUUUCUUCUUCAACCAAAGUCACGACCCCUCAUCCAAAGACACUUACACAGCCAUAUACAGAGAACAGAGUGAAUAAAAAUGGAAUUCGACUGAAAUUUGGAUUUGAGUUCGCGUUCGAUUCGAGAGUCUUGGUGCCGAGUCGAGUUCCCAACUGUUGCUUGAGGUUCCAGUCACAAUUUCUGUUCGUUUCUUUUUUGCUGUUUCACAACUGAUUUAUCGGAGUCUAAGGCAUGUGUAUUCAUCGCUUCUUUAUUGUUAAUUGAAGAGAAUUUCGGCUUAACAGGAAUGUUGAAGUUGACUAUACAUCUAUGGUGUUUGAUGAUAUGUCUGCAAGAGGUUGUCUGCAGAAUAUAUUCAUGCAUAUGACUGCUAUGUGAAGUGUAAGGAAAAGAGUUCCAUUCAAAGAAGAAGCCACCAGUACUACUAUCUAUUGUAAGAGAAAAAGAAUUUUUGGACCAAUAGUACCACUAGAUGCUAGAUAUCACCACAUUGUAAGACAAGAAUUGAACGGCAGGCCAGCCUAUAAGUCGCAUAACUGAAUCUGCCACAAACCACAAGGUUAGCAGCAAGCUGGUUCGUCGACCAAAGCUAUAAUGUUCUCUCUACACAAGUCCAACAAAGGUAGUUCGACUGCAAGCCCAUGACAAUUCUGUACCCUCCAAGUUUGUUUUUCCAAUAGUAUUAUCUCAAAAGCCUUCGCUAAUGUAGGCCUCUGUGAAGUUCUUCAGCCUCCUUGCAGGAAAGCAAGUUAUCUUAUUCACUAUUGGUUCCCACCUGUAGCGCAUCUAUACCACACAUGUUCCUUGAAGUAGCAAAUGGUGUCAUGAUCAAUAACCAACCAUGUCUGUGGAAUUUAGGCACCCUCACUGCUAUUCUGGCAUUUGUUAAUAAUCAACUCAGCAACAAAGUGAGGACAUAGAGCAGGUUUUUGCUUCAUCUUCUCUACAUGGUUUUUACUUUUUCUUUUCUUCAGAAUUUGAUAGACGGCGGUGACAUUUUUCAUUAAAGAUCUGUAGUUAACGUUAGAUGAACUUUGCUAAUAAUGUCUCCUACCCUGAUGAUAGUGCAUGUGUGAUGAUUUGGCAUCAGUAGCGGCAAAGUUUAGCAUAGUUUAUCCUUGGAUUCUUUUAAAAAAUAUAGCUCUCUGCACGUCUAAAUUUAUACUUA